GUGGAUGAUGUGGAUUAAUUCGAUGCAACGCGAAGAACCUUACCUGGUCUUGACAUGUACGGAAGAGAGUAGAGAUACUCUUGUGCCUUCGGGAGCCGUAGCACAGGUGCUGCAUGGCUGUCGUCAGCUCGUGUCGUGAGAUGUUGGGUUAAGUCCCGCAACGAGCGCAACCCUUGUCAUUAGUUGCCAUCAUUAAGUUGGGCACUCUAAUGAGACUGCCGGUGACAAACCGGAGGAAGGUGGGGAUGACGUCAAGUCCUCAUGGCCCUUAUGACCAGGGCUUCACACGUCAUACAAUGGUCGGUACAGAGGGUAGCCAAGCCGCGAGGUGGAGCCAAUCCCAGAAAACCGAUCGUAGUCCGGAUUGCACUCUGCAACUCGAGUGCAUGAAGUCGGAAUCGCUAGUAAUCGCAGGUCAGCAUACUGCGGUGAAUACGUUCCCGGGUCUUGUACACACCGCCCGUCACACCAUGGGAGUGGGGGAUACCAGAAGUAGAUAGGGUAACCGCAAGGAGCCCGUUUACCACGGUAUGUUUCAUGACUGGGGUGAAGUCGUAACAAGGUAGCCGUAGGGGAACCUGCGGCUGGAUCACCUCCUUU
rnacentral:rRNA from 1 species